rnacentral:misc_RNA from 1 species
UUUGACAAAUGAUUUAGCUAAAUUCACUAAUGGCGAACAAAUUCUCGAUACUUUACUUGGUUCUCAAAGAUUAUCAAAUUAAAAAUCUAGUCUUGGUUAUGAUGGAUUCAUGCAUUAUGGAAAAUACAAAAAUUUUUAAAAUUUCUUUGUAAAAGAUUCAUCUUUUUCAUUACCAAAUGCCUAUUGCAAUCAAAAUGGUCAUAUAGUUAGUCAUUGUCCCAUAAGAAAAGGUUCCUUAAUGAUGGUGAAAAAGAAUUGGUACCUAAAGGAAUAGUUUCUAAUGUCUCUAACCCCUAAGGACCCAAAUUUGCUUGGGUACCUAAGAAAUAAUCAACUAAUUUUAGGUAUGCCUUCGAAGUAAGCAAGAAUGUGAAUAGUUGUAUGUUG